rnacentral:rRNA from 1 species
CCUACGGGUGGCAGCAGUGGGGAAUAUUGCACAAUGGGGGAAACCCUGAUGCAGCGACGCCGCGUGAGUGAAGAAGUAAUUCGUUACGUAAAGCUCUAUCAGCAGGGAAGAAACACUGACCUUACGGUCAGCAGACGGUACCUGAGGAAGAAGCCCCGGCUAACUACGUGCCAGCAGCCGCGGUAAUACGUAGGGGGCAAGCGUUAUCCGGAUUUACUGGGUGUAAAGGGAGCAUAGACGGUGCGCCAAGUCUGGAGGGAAAUGCCGCAGCUUAACUGCGGAACUGCUUGGGAAACUGGCGAACUAGAGUGCGGGAGGGGUAAGCGGAAUGACUAGUGUAGCGGUGAAAUGCGUAGAUAUUAGGAGGAACACCGGUGGCGAAGGCGGCUUACUGGACCGUAACUGACGUUGAGGCUCGAAAGCGUGGGGAGCAAACAGGAUUAGAUACCCUAGUAGUC